UAAGAGUUUUGGACAUGGCUCAGGAUGAACGCUGGCGGCGUGCCUAAUACAUGCAAGUCGAGCGAACAGAUAAGGAGCUUGCUCCUUUGACGUUAGCGGCGGACGGGUGAGUAACACGUGGGUAACCUACCUAUAAGACUGGGAUAACUUCGGGAAACCGGAGCUAAUACCGGAUAAUAUUUCGAACCGCAUGGUUCGAUAGUGAAAGAUGGUUUUGCUAUCACUUAUAGAUGGACCCGCGCCGUAUUAGCUAGUUGGUAAGGUAACGGCUUACCAAGGCGACGAUACGUAGCCGACCUGAGAGGGUGAUCGGCCACACUGGAACUGAGACACGGUCCAGACUCCUACGGGAGGCAGCAGUAGGGAAUCUUCCGCAAUGGGCGAAAGCCUGACGGAGCAACGCCGCGUGAGUGAUGAAGGUCUUCGGAUCGUAAAACUCUGUUAUUAGGGAAGAACAUACGUGUAAGUAACUGUGCACGUCUUGACGGUACCUAAUCAGAAAGCCACGGCUAACUACGCAGCGACCGG
rnacentral:rRNA from 1 species